GUAACAGUAGUGGAAACAAAAGCUCCUUCUUUAUUCACAGGCUAAAUACAGCAUACAGCAGCUGCACUACAGGCUAAACCCGUAUUAUCCUCUUUACGACCUCAGUUUUGACCUUAGACAGGGUUUCAUGCUCCACUUAAAAGCAGAUAGUAUUUUUGUUUCUAACCUGACUUCUCAUGAGGCUCUU
ensembl:misc_RNA